UACGUAGGGUGCGAGCGUUUAAUCGGAAUUACUGGGCGUAAAGCGUGCGCAGGCGGUUUUGUAAGUCAGAUGUGAAAUCCCCCGGGCUUAACCUGGGAACUGCGUUUGAAACUACAAGGCUAGAGUGUGGCAGAGGGGGGUGGAAUUCCACGUGUAGCAGUGAAAUGCGUAGAGAUGUGGAGGAACACCGAUGGCGAAGGCAGCCCCCUGGGUCAAGAUUGACGCUCAUGCACGAAAGCGUGGGGAGCAAACAGG
rnacentral:rRNA from 1 species